rnacentral:lncRNA from 1 species
CAGUCCAGGACAUCGGGGUAGAAGGACCUUCCUAUCCAACUGCAAUGAUUUGUGAGCGCGUCUUCCCGGGGUGACACAAAUUCCCGUGUGUUUGGUCUCUCCAGGUGCGCUGCGGCCAAUGUCUUUGAGCUUGCUUUGUGGACUACUUGGCAAAUGAGACAAAACAGGAAAACUAGUUUGGGGGCCGUGCGUGCUUUCCGAAGAUUCCUGAGCAUUUGAAGAAUCUACUUUGGUAAGAAGAAGCAUUUGCAAAUGCAAUAUGUGGGAGGUACUUGCAUAAAUUUCAUUAUUUGUUGGUGAAAUAUCAACAGCUGGAGUGUUAGAUCUAGAAUCUCCAAAUUAAAACAAGCCCUGCUUAUUUCAAAUGAA